rnacentral:rRNA from 1 species
UACGAAGGGGGCUAGCGUUGUUCGGAAUUACUGGGCGUAAAGCGCGCGUAGGCGGACCACCAAGUUGGAUGUAAAAAUCCCAGGGCUCAAACUCUGGAACUGCAUUUCAAAAACUGUUGGUCUAGAGGCUAGGAGAGGUCAGUGGAAUACCGAGUGUAGAGGUGAAAUUCGUAAGAUAUUCGGUGGAACACCAGUGGCGAAAGGCGACUGACUGGACUAGUACUGACGCUGAGGUGCGAAAAGUGUGGGGAGCAAAACAGG